rnacentral:rRNA from 1 species
AUUGAACGCUGCGGCAGGCUUAACACAUGCAAGUAGAGCGAGCGGAGGACGGGGGAGUAAAGCUUAGGAAUCUGCCUAUUAGUGGGGGACAACAUCACGAAAGGGAUGCUAAUACCGCAUACGAAUAGAAGAGACUAAGUCGGAUUUGCACGUUGGUGGGGUAAAGGCCUACCAAGGCGACGAUCUGUAGCGGGUCUGAGAGGAUGAUACGCCACACUGGGACGUAGACACGGCCCAGACUCCUACGGGAGGCAGCAGUGGGGAAUAUUGGACAAUGGGGGGAACCCUGAUCCAGCCAUGCCGCGUGUGUGAAGAAGGCCUUAUGGUUGUAAAGCACUUUAAGCGAGGAGGCGUUACUCGCAGAAUAAGCACCGGCUAACUCUGUGCCAGCAGCCGCGGUAAUUC